rnacentral:rRNA from 1 species
GUGCACAGCCAUGUCACCCUGCAGCCCAAGACUGGUUACUCACUGAAGCUAAGCAGGGCUGAGUCUGGUCAGUACCUGGAUGGGAGACCACUAGGGAACACUAGGUUGCUGUUGGAA